UACGAAGGGGGCUAGCGUUGCUCGGAAUCACUGGGCGUAAAGCGCACGUAGGCGGCUCCCCAAGUCAGGGGUGAAAUCCGGCAGCUUAACUGUCGAAGUGCCUUUGAUACUGGGGAGCUCGAGGGAGGUAGGGGUGUGUGGAACUUCCGGUGGAGCGGUGAAAUGCGUUGAUAUCGGAAGGAACGCCGGUGGCGAAAGCGACGCACUGGACCUCUUCUGACGCUGAGGCGCGAAAGCCAGGGGAGCAAACGGG
rnacentral:rRNA from 1 species